rnacentral:rRNA from 1 species
CACGUAGUUAGCCGGCGCUUCUUCUGCAGGUACCGUCACUUUCGCUUCUUCCCUGCUGAAAGAGGUUUACAACCCGAAGGCCUUCAUCCCUCACGCGGCGUCGCUGCAUCAGGCUUUCGCCCAUUGUGCAAUAUUCCCCACUGCUGCCUCCCGUAGGAGUCUGGGCCGUGUCUCAGUCCCAGUGUGGCCGGUCGCCCUCUCAGGCCGGCUACCCCGUCGUCGCCUUGGUGAGCCGUUACCUCACCAACUAGCUGAUAGGCCGCGAGCCCAUCCCCAGACCCGAUAAAUCUUUCCAGACGCUCCACAUGCGUGGGCGUCUCGUAUCCGGUAUUAGCCACGAUUUCUCAUGGUUAUCCCAGAGUCUGGGGCAGGUUGCUCACGUGUUACUCACCCGUUCGCCACUGAUCCACAGGAGCAAGCUCCUGCUUCACCGUUCGACUUGCAUGUGUUAAGCACGCCGCCAGCGUUCGUCCUGAGCCAGGAUCAAACU